rnacentral:rRNA from 1 species
AGCGGCCGCUCUGUUUGAUCCUGGGGAGGUUACUGCUAUCGAGGUCCGACUAAGCCAUGCGAGUCGAAUGUAGCAAUACAUGGCAUACUGCUCAGUAACACGUGGACAACCUACCCUGGACACGGGGAUAAACCCGGGAAACCGGGUAUAAUACCCGAUAGUUCUGGGAUGCUGGAAUGCGCCCAGGACGAAAGCUCCGGCGACUGAGGAUGGGUCUGCGGCCUAUCAGGUAGUAGUGGGUGUAGCGUACCUACUAGCCUACGACGGGUACGGGUUGUGAGAGCAAGAGCCCGGAGAUGGAUUCUGAGACACGAAUCCAGGCCCUACGGGGUGCAGCAGGCGCGAAAACUUUACAAUGCUGGCAACAGCGAUAAGGGAACCUCGAGUGCCAGGUUACAAAUCUGGCUGUCGUGAUGCCUAAAAAGCAUUGCAUAGCAAGGGCCGGGCAAGACCGGUGCCAGCCGCCGCGGUAACACCGGCGGCUCGAGUGGUAACCGUUAUUAUUGGGUCUAAAGGGUCUGUAGCCGGCCGGAUAAGUCUCUUGGGAAAUCUGGCAGCUUAACUGUCAGGCUUUCAGGAGAUACUGUCUGGCUCGAGGCCGGGAGAGGUGAGAGGUACUUCAGGGGUAGGGGUGAAAUCUUGUAAUCCUUGAAGGACCACCAGUGGCGAAGGCGUCUCACCAGAAUGGACCUGACGGCAAGGGACGAAAGCUAGGGGCACGAACCGGAUUAGAUACCCGGGUAGUCCUAGCCGUAAACGAUACUCGCUAGGUGUCGGCCACGGUGCGACCGUUGUCGGUGCCGUAGGGAAGCCGUGAAGCGAGCCACCUGGGAAGUACGGCCGCAAGGCUGAAACUUAAAGGAAUUGGCGGGGGAGCACCACAACGGGUGGAGCUUGCGGUUUAAUUGGAUUCAACGCCGGAAAUCUUACCGGGACCGACAGCAAUAUGAAGGCCAGGCUGAAGACUUUGCCGGAUUAGCUGAGAGGUGGUGCAUGGCCGUCGUCAGUUCGUACUGUGAAGCAUCCUGUAAGUCAGGCAACGAGCGAGACC